AAUCAUUCCUUCAUGACUACCUUCUCAAGGUUAAAUAUUUCCUCACAUGCAGUACAGUAAUUGACACAAAUAGGUGUGGUUGCUUUGGUAUAAUCUUGCCAUAUUUUUACUGUAUUUCACAUCCUUACCCCAAAUUUGGUCUUACAGGUACUUUGGGUCCAUUCUUCUCUGAUUACAGUUGUUCAAGAGGCAAGUACUUGAUUAAGUUGGGCUGAUCACAGGACACCUUUCCUCUACAGUUAUAUUCCCAGUCAUGGCAGCAAGACUAAAGGGACGGGAGAGACCAGGAGUGUCACCACAGUUCUGUCUUCAUCUCAGAGGCCCACAAUCCUUAGUCCCAGGACAGCCCUCUUCUCAAUUUUAUUACUUAGUGCUUUCCUUGAUUGCUAAUUUUUUACUACAUAAAAUGAAAGAUAAUGCCUGAAACAAAACAUUUCAGUGUGGCUGGCACUAACCAGAGCAAAAACAUAGUCUGUGAUGAUAGCCAGGAUCAUGUGAAGAGAUUCUAAUUUUAAAGACAAAAUUGAAUGAAUUCGGAAACCAAAAAGCUUGUUGAGGUGAGUUUUUUUGUUUCUUUAAAUUUAUAAAUUGCUUGUUUCUCAGAAUAUUGAAAUGAUU
rnacentral:lncRNA from 12 species